UACCAAGAACGCAGUAGCUAGGCUCGACA
rnacentral:piRNA from 1 species